UGAAGGUGCGCUCCUGGGAGCAGGAGCUUUGCUGCCUUUGUACUUGCCUUGCUUUGCUGGGAGAUUACGGGUUAAUCCACCUUCCUCAGGUUUUGGAAUUUGUGACCUGCCUUUUGGAAAGGUAUUUUUCUCGAGCAGUUCUGCAGAAUCUUCUGAUACCAAGUACCUGGCUUGAAACGUUGUGCCCUCCUUCCUCACUUCCUGACUCUGGACUCAGCCAUACAACUUGCUUUGGUCCUGCUUGGUCUUGUGCUUCUGCUUUUGCAAUGAGAAAUGCCCAAACUAGCCUGCUGGAGGGUGACAGAGUUGUGGAACAGAGUCAAGUCAUCUGAGACCUCCCGACCAAGGCCAGCCUCCAUCGAAUUCUCGACAGGUGAGUGGGAUCAACCAACAAGCAAUAGGUGCUUAUUUUUCAUGCAAAAAUAAUUGUGUCUUAUGAAGUGGCUAUACUU
rnacentral:lncRNA from 1 species